GGCCAUAGUGGGUGAUAGCCCUGUACGCGAAAAUCCCUUUGCAAUGAAAUCGAGUAGGACGGGGCACGAGAAACCUUGUCUGAAUAUGGGGGGACCAUCCUCCAAGGCUAAAUACUACUGACUGACCGAUAGUGAACCAGUACCGUGAGGGAAAGGCGAAAAGAACCGCGGAGAGCGGAGUGAAAUAGAUCCUGAAACCGUAUGCGUACAAGCAGUGGGAGCCCACUUGUUGGGUGACUGCGUACCUUUUGUAUAAUGGGUCAGCGACUUAUUUUCAGUGGCGAGCUUAACCGAAUAGGGGAGGCGUAGCGAAAGCGAGUCUUAAUAGGGCGUCUAGUCGCUGGGAAUAGACCCGAAACCGGGCGAUCUAUCCAUGGGCAGGUUGAAGGUUGGGUAACACUAACUGGAGGACCGAACCGACUACCGUUGAAAAGUUAGCGGAUGACCUGUGGAUCGGAGUGAAAGGCUAAUCAAGCUCGGAGAUAGCUGGUUCUCCUCGAAAGCUAUUUAGGUAGCGCCUCAUGUAUCACUGUAGGGGGUAGAGCACUGUUUCGGCUAGGGGGUCAUCCCGACUUACCAAACCGAUGCAAACUCCGAAUACCUACAAGUGCCGAGCAUGGGAGACACACGGCGGGUGCUAACGUCCGUCGUGAAAAGGGAAACAACCCAGACCGUCAGCUAAGGUCCCAAAGUCAUGGUUAAGUGGGAAACGAUGUGGGAAGGCUUAGACAGCUAGGAGGUUGGCUUAGAAGCAGCCACCCUUUAAAGAAAGCGUAAUAGCUCACUAGUCGAGUCGGCCUGCGCGGAAGAUGUAACGGGGCUCAAACCAUGCACCGAAGCUACGGGUAUCAUCUUUUGAUGAUGCGGUAGAGGAGCGUUCUGUAAGCCUGUGAAGGUGAGUUGAGAAGCUUGCUGGAGGUAUCAGAAGUGCGAAUGCUGACAUGAGUAACGACAAUGGGUGUGAAAAACACCCACGCCGAAAGACCAAGGUUUCCUGCGCAACGUUAAUCGACGCAGGGUUAGUCGGUCCCUAAGGCGAGGCUGAAAAGCGUAGUCGAUGGAAAACAGGUUAAUAUUCCUGUACUUCUGGUUAUUGCGAUGGAGGGACGGAGAAGGCUAGGCCAGCCUGGCGUUGGUUGUCCAGGUUUAAGGUGGUAGGCUGAGAUCUUAGGUAAAUCCGGGAUCUUAAGGCCGAGAGCUGAUGACGAGUGUUCUUU
rnacentral:rRNA from 1 species